AUGCCAGGUUGGCACCGGUCCCAGAAACUGGUCGAAAGCUCAUGAGAAAAUUUCUUCUCCCCCGAGACUCGAACCAGCGCGCAUUCCGUAACGCCGGUUCGAAGCGUGAUGCCUCAGACCACGCGGUUACGGCGCGGGACAUGUCACCUAUAAUAUUUACCUAAAUUUAAGACAGCAGCAGAGAAUAACACAAAUCAGAAGGUUGAGAUGCAAAGAAACGAGGAAUAACAGGUAUUAGUUUAUCCAACAAAAAUUAAUAAUCUUGUGUAUUGCCUUCAGUUACAUUUUCAUGUUUUUUAACCUGUUAUAGAGUCGUUGGCUGAGUCUGCAUAAUUCAGUACAUUCACUGUAAAUUAUGUAUCAUUUCUACUUAUUAUUAAUGUAAGAAACUUCCUGUGUGGUUCAUGUAACUUCAUGUUUAAAGUUCCAGCGAGCAGAAAUGUUUAUUACAGUUAUGUUUUCCCUCUUCUGAUAAUAUUCCUCUAUUCUUUCCAUCCACAAAUUUCAUCUUCGCAAUAUUAUACUACAGUUAUGGACUGGACGUGCAGUUCAAACUGUGAUAUCUGUAUUUUACAUAUUGACUCCCCUACCUGUCGUAAGUUUGUAGUAAAACGGAUAAUGAAAUGAGAUCACCCUGACAGUUUAUUAUCUUAUUAUAUGAAUUUAGAACCACCCUAAUUUUUUCCAAUACCAAAAUAUUCCUAAGUGCUUCAGAUUUGGAUAAGUAGAGAGAGGGAGAAAGAUAAGAUGGAUAGCAGAAGAGUAGAAUUUGCAACGAGGAAAUUGGUGGAAGGGGGAGAAGUGAAAGACACUUCGAUUUCAGGGGGAAAGAAAGAUCAUCUUAUAGUUAAGAGGGUCCCCAAGCAAUGCCCGCUCGUCCUUAUGGCAAGGAUAAAGUAAAGUAGGAGUGAAGACGUUAGGACGAUAAUUGGCAGAAAUGACGGAAAUUUUGAGUUUUAUAUUAGAAAAUGUGGAAGUUAUUAAUUUGGAAGUUUGGUACAUAAUUUAGCUGCUUCGACUGGGGAGAGGGGAGAUAAAUUUUGAUUAAUUUAAAUCGGGAUGGCUGCAUGAGAAGCAUGCAGUUGGAACUUGGGAACCAUCUCAGCAUUUGCUUGAAGACAGAUUUGGAUAAGUACAUUACUCUCAGUGUGACUUACGAGUAAGCGGUAAAAGAGAACAGUACGUCUAGCCUGUCACUGUCAAAGAAACAAAAUAGUAGUAUUACUGAUUCUUCUGUUUUGUUUCUAUAACGUGCUUCUUCACAUCUUCCUUCCUAUGUCUGCUUUGUACCUUCUGUGCUAAUUUUCAUGAUCUCGUAUAUCCCUUUCUCCGCCUCCUUAAUGUUAGGACUGAUAAUGGUAGUAGUGACAUUCGGAUGAUGAAAAUUAUGUGAUUAAAAGAGUUUUGUAUAUAGUGUCUCACAAAUUUUGUAUGUGCAUGUAUUUUCACAAAAAUACAAAAGUAAUUCUGAGGAGUACUAUUUUAAGUAUGUGGAGAAGAACACUUUUAUGGUCGGGAUGCAAAUAUUUGGAUUUGCGCAUGGUACGUCAUAUUACAGUGCAACUGUCUGUUGGGUUAACGGUGUCGUAACACAUCUCCUAUAGAACGUAAUGUGAAAAUACUUACAGUAGUAGAUUCUGAAAUAUUUUAGUUACUUUUUGAACUGCUAGUUUGAAGCCUUUCGUAACAAACUAACGAACAGUGCCUUUCUUUGUGUUUUUCUUGUCCUUGCGAAAUAUAGCAAAGUAAAGUGAAAUUGUACUUCCUGUUUACUUAAUUGUACUCCAUUGUACAAAAUAUGUGCAGGAAGUUUUAAUUUCAUCAAGCAAAUUCUUAUCAUAACCUGUAAGAAACAGGAUACUGUGAUAUAAUUUUUCAGUAUGUCUGUCAUUCCCUAAUAAUUUUUUAACCAACUGACAGUUGCUCAUGGAAUUUGGUAUGAAUAUCGUGCCGCUAGUAAAAGCUGCCUCUCCUUUGUACUUUUGAAUUUCUUGUCACCGGCAAAACCAUUACAGUAACCAUGUGAACUUCUGAUGUGGGAAACUAGACCUUCAGAUGUGCGACUUGUGUUAGUAUUACAUCUCAGUGUUAAAAUUACUAUGAGUCCUCAAAAAUUUUUCACUUAAUUUGUCAUUUCUCAUAUCUGUUAUCCACUAUGUAACACUAUUAUUCUGUACGUACAAGAAAUACUCCUAUCGAAAGAUUCUCAGACCAGAUCCUUAUGAUUUUGUUUCCGACUUAAUUUUUGUAAUGUUAAAUGAGAAUGCCAUGAGGCCGGUAGUCCCCACCGAGGAAUCAAAAUUGAAAAUUAUUCCUGAUUCUGAAUCUGGCAAAUGAGCAGUCAACAUCAGACAUGAAUGUGGAAUAAUGUCCAUAACAGUAAGAACUGUAGUUGAUAAACAAUAAUAUAAAUAUGAUGCAAAAUUAUGGAGUUUCACAGCUAAAUAAUUUAGAAGCAUAAAAACAUAUUUUGAUGAAAAUGAAGGUGAUACUGCUGAUUAUGAUUUCUGAUCAGCGAGCUAUGGAAGUUAAUGUGAAUUUCACUCUUUAUCAGGCAGAAAUCAAAGAGAAUUUUGAAAAGUCUCAAGACUAGUCUUUAAUUAUAUUUAUUUACAUGAAAAAUGAGUUUAGUGCUCAAAUUUAUGUCUUCUCUGGUACAAAUUAUCAUUAUAACACGCGAAUUCAUUGCUUCAUAUCCAUCAUAGUCUUAACGGACCAGUUAACACGCAUUAAGGAACCGCCAUAUAAAGAACCAUUGAAGCUAGGCAUGUGAAAUGUGUACAGUGUUAGGUCAGAACAACACAAAAUCUGCAAGAUGCAUUGUUUGAAAUGGUAACGUGUAGAAACAUGGCAAUGAGUGAAAAAUAGCCAACACAUUUAACACAAAAUGAGAAUCUGUUUUAGUGAAGAUUACAUGCAUAAAUGAAGCAUGAUUUGUGAAAUUAUGGUUCCUGUUAACUAACUCCAUGGAGCAUAGUCCAUCUUGAUAAAUUUAUAUUAUGUCCUCUUAUCUGUGCCUAGGUAUUCUGAGUGGUCUCUCCUGUUCAGAUUUUCCAAUCAAAAUUUUGUAUACAUUUCUCAUCUCUCUCCAUGCAUACUACAUGUACUUCCAUCUCAUCCUCCUUAAUUUUAUUAUCAUGCUUAUAAUAUUUAUUUAAGAGUACAAAUCAUGGAGCUUAUUAGGCAAUUUCAUCCAGUUUCGAAUCACAGUUUCCGAUGGAAUAAUCUAAAGGGAAAUAGACCUCAACUUUUAUUUCCCGAACUUCUGUCCACAACUAGCUAUACUUUGAGUACUACCUUCAUUUAGCUAUCAAAAUUGUUAACAAAAAUAUCAGUGAAUGGCUUGAACAUGUUCAAGCAGCCGUCUCAAGUAACGUCCUGUUUGAGAGCACGGUCACUUAAUUUUGCCGUCAGAUACAGCACCACGUGGCUUCUCCAGGAAUUAGUGUGGUGGGUUGACAUAUCAACUUAAAUUUAAGAUGGCUGUCUUCCUGGUUGUAGUGCCAUGCAGUCUGGUAGAAGCUCGCCAACAUCUCGGAGGGUGAUCAUCACCCUUUUGAUUAAGGCAGCAAGUACAUCUGAAAUGCUGGUAAACUUCUACUCGAUUGCAUGGAACCACAACCCAGGAGACAGUCAUCUUCAUACUCACCAGCAUGAGAGCCUUGGAUUUGACUUAAAUUGUUACAAAUUAUAUUACUUCUUGGGUAGAGGCUGCCUGAUAACGCACAAUCAUCCACACAUGCAGUAAUGCCUUUCAUUAUGUGUCUUUCUCGUCAAACAUUGUACCCUCAGAAUUAUGUCUUGUGUAUAUUUUUAUUUAUUAAACUGUUUACACUUUCUGGAAUAUGUGUGUGUGUAUGUGUGUGUUGUUAAUAUAGUAAUAUACGGUACUUGUGGGUUAUCGGGACACAUCGCUUUAAAAAUAGGUUAGGUUAGGUUAUCUUAGGUUAGGUUAGGUUGCUAUGAAACUAUAUUUCAGUGAUAGAGUGAAAUGGAGGUGCGGUAAACAAUAUUGCAGAACAACAACCUAACCUAACCUAACCUAUUUUUGAAGCGAUGUGUCCCGAUAACCCACAAGUACCUAAUAUACUUUUAAAACUAUAAUUCUGUACUUUAAUGUCCCAAAUUUCCCUUUUAAAGUUUAUGGAAACUAGAUGACACAAACUGUUGGUAAUAACUAGAGAAAGUUCCCAUUCUUUACCUGGGUUCUUCUUAAAAUAAAGUGUGUUGAAAAAACAAAA